AAAUUGAAGAGUUUGAUCAUGGCUCAGAUUGAACGCUGGCGGUAGGCCUAACACAUGCAAGUCGAACGGUAACAGGAAGCAGCUUGCUGCUUUGCUGACGAGUGGCGGACGGGUGAGUAAUGUCUGGGAAACUGCC
rnacentral:rRNA from 1 species